rnacentral:rRNA from 1 species
UACAUGGGGUGCAAACGUUGCUCGGAAUUAUUGGGCGUAAAGCGCGCGUAGGCGGUUACUUAAGUCGGAUGUGAAAGCCCUCGGCUUAACUGAGGAAGUGCACCCGAAACUGAGUAGCUAGAGUACGAAAGAGGAUCGCGGAAUUCCCGGUGUAGAGGUGAAAUUCGUAGAUAUCGGGAGGAACACCGGUGGCGAAGGCGGCGAUCUGGGUCGAUACUGACGCUGAGGUGCGAAAGCCAGGGGAGCAAACGGG